CUAAGGCUCCAGAGGAAGCCACGGCUAACUCUGUGCCAGCAGCCGCGGUAAUACAGAGGCGGCAAGCGUUGUUCGGAAUUAUUGGGCGUAAAGAGCACGUAGGCGGCCUUGCAAGUCAGUUGUGAAAGCCUUCCGCUUAACGGAUGAAUGCCAGCUGAUACUACAGGGCUUGAGUACGGGAGGGGAGAGUGGAACUUCUGGUGGAGCGGUGAAAUGCGUAGAUAUCAGAAGGAACGCCGGCGGCGAAAGCGACUCUCUGGCCCGAAACUGACGCUGAGUGUGCGAAAGCUAGGGGAGCAAACGGGAUUAGAUACCCCGGUAGUCCUAGCCGUAAA
rnacentral:rRNA from 1 species